UCCAGAUUUGUUUGUCUAGAAGAGAGGGCA
rnacentral:piRNA from 1 species